GCCUAGCUAUUGUGGUGGUGCCAAGUAUUUUUACAUGGUGGUGGAGCUUUUAAACUUCUACGUCUCUCUCCCUCUCUUUCAGCUCAUCUUCUUGUAACGAUCGUGUUCAUCAUGAUAUUUGUUUCUUCCAGUUAAAAAGUGAUUGUUUGAUGAAAGAAGAAUGCACAUAUACAUGCCAUGCUAAGGGCAUUGAAAGUGGAUGGUGGAAAUGAAUGGGAUGAUAUAGAUGAUCAUAUUGUUGACAGAAGAGAGAGAGCACAACCCUCCAUUGGCUAAAGGGAGUUUUUGUCUUUGCUGGGAGUGUGCUUUCUCUUCUUCUGUCAACAACUUUACGCGAUAGUACUGUAAUUAAUUAUGUCUGCCGUGUCACCCGCACCGUGUGGAUCCUGUGUUUUUGUCCUUACAGUGUUUUGAAGAUCGAUCUUUCCCUUCAUGGACCAAAGGAAAUGCUAAUUAAUAUUCUUAUCAAGAGCAAGGAAAUGAAGACAUGAAAGAGGCCGGAGGAUCCUAAGCGAUAACUUAAAUCUCUAGGAACUAAUUUUCGUUUUGUGUUGGAUGAACGUUAACGACAAUAAUGGGGGCCUGCAUCUAGAUCUUUACUUCAGGUAAAAAUCUACAAGGAUAUCAGUCUUGAGUGGACAUGCUGCAUGUACACCUUCUAUACUACAAAAAAUCACGAGUUCCUGGAUCCCCAAAGGAACUGGAAAGGUUCUUUGUAUUUCCAUAAUAUUUUUCAUUUGCUGACAAGAAAACCCUUCCAUAGGGCACUUUUUUUUAAGAAAGCCAUUUAAUUUUACAAAGUAAAGGCACGGAUGAGCUUAUAUCUGUUGGUAGCAGAUAGCUAGGGAGGAUACUGUACGUCUGUCACCACAAAGGCGUACGUACAAGAAAACACCCACCAGUACUGAAUCACAAGAUGACAAUAAUUCAAGAGAUUCUGUACAAUCGUUUUAGAUGAAAUCAUCGUUCUCUUGAGUAAAAAUUGCUAACGAAUAAAGGGUUUUACAGAUCAUGCCAAUUCUAGAGGAAAAUAUGAUAUUGUAAUACAUACAAAGGCUUUUUAGUAUAGAUUUGCUAUGCAAUAUCCCUGCUGGCCCGACAUGCUUCACUCCAUUCUUUACAAAUUAAUUUUUGCUCAGCUGAAUUGAAUUAAUUUGUUGUUGUGAUAGAUUCUUCUAAACUGGGCUUUAGGCUUCAGAUCAUGUCUAGAAAAUGGUACGUACAUAUAUCCUGCUACUUCUUAAUUUCGACUUUGUUGUUGCUGCUGUUUGUUUUCCUUAUAAUGAUCAAAUCUGUCAUGCUUCGAAUCUUUAAUAAUGUUGAACCAAAGGUUCAUUGGCUGAACUGUUUCUUUUGUAUUUGGAAGUAUGAUAGUCAAUUUGGAGAGAUCAUUUUCCCAUGUAGCUUGUGAUAAGGGCUUCUUAGGUAGCUUAAGGAGCAUGCUCACGCACAUCCUCCGAGCCAUGCAAUUAUUUGAAGUCCCAACAACUUGUUGCGGCCAACAUAACUGUGGUGAUCAAAUGCAACCUGCAAGUGAACAAAGAUCCCAGGUGGCUGUACAAUUCCAAAAUCAACAUGAAACCAUGAAAUGGAAGUCAGAUCAAACUGAGUCGGGAUACUUUAUACAGCAUAACACUGAAUGCCGGGAGGCAUGCAAAGUAUCAUGUCUUAAGCGUUGCGGCCUAGGACAUCAGCGACACAAGUCAAGCAAGAAGUCACCUCAGCUUGAUUUGAACAUCCCAAACUCAAACUGUGGGCGUUCUGAUUGCAGAUCUUUCUGGUGUGUCUUUGCCUUGUCCAGAGGUUUUCUCCAUCCAGAAAGAUCUGAGAAGAAUACUUCAGAGUCAGGAAUUGCAGUUUACGUGAGUUUUCUGAUACACAUUCUGUAAUUAGUUCAUAUGCUGAUGUAAAUUCUUAAGCUCUAUCUAAUAAUCCAUUCAAGCCA